AAGUCGUAACAAGGUUUCCGUAGGUGAACCUGCGGAAGGAUCAUUAACACGUAUCCAAACGUUAAAACCCCCCCCGUGAACAUUGAUUCCUGCUCUUGUAACCCGCGAAGCUUGCAAUCUCUGGUAAAUCAUAGCCCGGAAAGUAGUGCGAAAUCACAACAGUUACAAUUCGAGCGGUAGUUCUAUAGGCCUUGUUUCCCCAAGCAGUCAGUGUCUGAAAGUGUCAGUGAUUGUGCAAGGAUAACGCUUCACGAUUCUUGUAGACCGCAUCUCGCGGGCAGGAGCUAGGCCAAAGGGUCCCCAUGCCCCCUUACAACCCCACAGUUAAAUGUGAAGCUCAAUGUAAUACAUUGGGUAAAAAACCGAACAACUGUUAACAAUGGAUAUCUUGGUUCUC
rnacentral:misc_RNA from 1 species